UACGGAGGGUGCAAGCGUUGUCCGGAAUCACUGGGCGUAAAGGGCGCGUAGGCGGCUCAUGAAGGCUGUGGUGAAAUUCCUGGGCUCAACCUGGGGACUGCGCUUGAGACGUGUGGGCUUGAGUGGGGAAGAGGGUCGUGGAAUUCCCAGUGUAGAGGUGAAAUUCGUAGAUAUUGGGAAGAACACCGGUGGCGAAGGCGGCUCUCUGGACCGACACUGACGCUGAGGCGCGAAAGCGUGGGGAGCAAACAGG
rnacentral:rRNA from 1 species